UACGUAGGGGACGAGCGUUGUCCGGAUUCAUUGGGCGUAAAGCGCGCGUAGGCGGCUCGGAAAGUCGGUCGUGAAAUGCCGGGGCUCAACCCCGGGACUGCGUCCGAUACUCCCGAGCUGGAGGCAGGUAGGGGAGAUCGGAAUUCCUGGUGUAGCGGUGAAAUGCGCAGAUAUCAGGAGGAACACCGGUGGCGAAGGCGGAUCUCUGGGCCUUGCCUGACGCUGAGGCGCGAAAGCUAGGGGAGCGAACAGG
rnacentral:rRNA from 1 species